rnacentral:rRNA from 1 species
GUCUAGAGCCACACCACCCUGAAUGUGCCCAAUCUCGUCUGAUCUUGGAAGCUAAGCAGCAGGCUGCAGCCUGGGUAGCACUUGGGU